rnacentral:rRNA from 1 species
UAAUACGAAGGUGGCAAGCGUUGUUCGGAUUUACUGGGCGUACAGGGAGCGUAGGCGGUUCGGUAAGCCCUCCGUGAAAUCUCCAGGCUCAACCUGGAAAGUGCAGAGGGGACUGCCGGGCUAGAGGAUGGGAGAGGAGCGCGGAAUUCCCGGUGUAGCGGUGAAAUGCGUAGAGAUCGGGAGGAAGGCCGGUGGCGAAGGCGGCGCUCUGGAACAUUUCUGACGCUGAGGCUCGAAAGCGUGGGGAGCAAACAGGAUUAGAUACCCUGGUAGUCCACGCCUUAAACGAUGGAUACUAAGUGUCGGCGGGUUACCGCCGGUGCCGCAGCUAACGCAGUAAGUAUCCCGCCUGGGAAGUACGGCCGCAAGGUUG